CUAUUGGAGCGGCCGAUAUCGGAUUAGCUAGUUGGUGGGGUAAAGGCUCACCAAGGCAACGAUCCGUAGCUGGUUUGAGAGGACGACCAGCCACACUGGGACUGAGACACGGCCCAGACUCCUACGGGAGGCAGCAGUGGGGAAUUUUGGACAAUGGGGGAAACCCUGAUCCAGCCAUCCCGCGUGUAUGAAGAAGGCCUUCGGGUUGUAAAGUACUUUUGGCAGAGAAGAAAAGGUACCUC
rnacentral:rRNA from 1 species